AAAUUUCUUGCCUUUUGCAGC
rnacentral:miRNA from 1 species